AGGACGAACGCUGGCGGCGUGCUUAACACAUGCAAGUCGAACGGUAAGGCCCCUUCGGGGGUACACGAGUGGCGAACGGGUGAGUAACACGUGGGUAAUCUGCCCUGCACUUCGGGAUAAGCCUGGGAAACUGGGUCUAAUACCGGAUAUGAACUCCUGCCGCAUGGUGGGGGUUGGAAAGUUUUCGGUGCAGGAUGAGCCCGCGGCCUAUCAGCUUGUUGGUGGGGUAAUGGCCUACCAAGGCGACGACGGGUAGCCGGCCUGAGAGGGUGAUCGGCCACACUGGGACUGAGACACGGCCAGACUCUACGGAGCAGCAGUGGGGAAUAUGCACAAUGGGCGAAAGCCUGAUGCAG
rnacentral:rRNA from 1 species